AGUGGAGCAAUCCAUGAGUACAGUGGCGACCGGGUGAGUAACACGUGAUCAACCUACCCUCGAGUGGGGGAUAACUCCGGGAAACCGGAGCUAAUACCGCAUAACAUCUUCGGUCCACAUGAACUGAUGAUCAAAGGAGCAAUUCGCUUGAGGAGGGGGUCGCGGCUGAUUAGCUAGUUGGUAGGGUAAUGGCCUACCAAGGCUUAGAUCGGUAUCCGGCCUGAGAGGGCGCACGGACACACUGGAACUGAAACACGGUCCAGACUCCUACGGGAGGCAGCAGUGGGGAAUUUUGCGCAAUGGGGGAAACCCUGACGCAGCAACGCCGCGUGGAGGAUGAAGUCCCUUGGGACGUAAACUCCUUUCGACCGGGAAGAUACUGACGGUACCGGAUGAAGAAGCACCGGCUAACUCUGUGCCAGCAGCCGCGGUAAUACAGAGGGUGCGAGCGUUGUUCGGAAUUAUUGGGCGUAAAGGGCGCGUAGGCGGCGCGGUAAGUCACCUGUGAAAUCUCCUGGCUCAACUGGGAGCUUGCAGGCGAAACUGCCGU
rnacentral:rRNA from 1 species